CCUACGGGUGGCAGCAGUGAGGAAUAUUGGUCAAUGGACGAGAGUCUGAACCAGCCAAGUAGCGUGAAGGAUGACUGCCCUAUGGGUUGUAAACUUCUUUUAUAUGGGAAUAAAAUGUUCCACGUGUGGGAUUUUGUAUGUACCAUAUGAAUAAGGAUCGGCUAACUCCGUGCCAGCAGCCGCGGUAAUACGGAGAAUCCGAGCGUUAUCCGGAUUUAUUGGGUUUAAAGGGAGCGUAGGUGGAUUGUUAAGUCAGUUGUGAAAGUUUGCGGCUCAACCGUAAAAUUGCAGUUGAAACUGGCAGUCUUGAGGACAGUAGAGGUGAGCGGAAUUCGUGGUGUAGCGGUGAAAUGCUUAGAUAUCACGAAGAACUCCGAUUGCGAAGGCAGUUCACUGGACUGCAACUGACACUGAGGCUCGAAAGUGUGGGUAUCAAACAGGAUUAGAUACCCGGGUAGUC
rnacentral:rRNA from 1 species